rnacentral:rRNA from 1 species
AAAAGGUGGCUAUGCUACCGCUUUUGGAUGGGCCCGCGGCGCAUUAGCUAGUUGGUGGGGUAAAGGCUUACCAAGGCAAUGAUGCGUAGCCGAACUGAGAGGUUGAUCGGCCACAUUGGGACUGAGACACGGCCCAAACUCCUACGGGAGGCAGCAGUAGGGAAUCUUCCACAAUGGGCGAAAGCCUGAUGGAGCAACGCCGCGUGGGUGAAGAAGGUCUUCGGAUCGUAAAACCCUGUUGUUAGAGAAGAAAGUGCGUGAGAGUAACUGUUCACGUUUCGACGGUAUCUAACCAGAAAGCCACGGCUAACUACGUGCCAGCAGCCGCGGUAAUACGUAGGUGGCAAGCGUUAUCCGGAUUUAUUGGGCGUAAAGGGAACGCAGGCGGUCUUUUAAGUCUGAUGUGAAAGCCUUCGGCUUAACCGGAGUAGUGCAUUGGAAACUGGGAGACUUGAGUGCAGAAGAGGAGAGUGGAACUCCAUGUGUAGCGGUGAAAUGCGUAGAUAUAUGGAAGAACACCAGUGGCGAAAGCGGCUCUCUGGUCUGUAACUGACGCUGAGGUUCGAAAGCGUGGGUAGCAAGCAGGAUUAGAUACCCUGGUAGUCCACGCCGUAAAC